rnacentral:lncRNA from 1 species
GACUAUUCCCUUUUUGGAUCUCCUAUCUGCUGCAUGGAACAGGUCUCUGGUUGCAGGUGCACAAGAAGUUGGCAAAUGACAAACAGAAAUGACAGACACAAAAGGGCUCAGAGCUACAAGUUUACAUUGAAUCUCACAGUGGAACUUACACAUAAACUUUUGAAUGGUCAUGAGAGUUUGACAACUGUGUCAAUGCUUGGAGAUGGGGCACAUCAAUGAAAGUAUUGAACAUCCACAGGAGAUUCCCAGGUGAAAUUUUUAGGCCCACUUAUGCAAAUUAUCAUAUCAUCUGUAAAUAACAAUACUUUAACUGCUUCCUUUCCAAAUUGUAUCCCCUCUAUCUCCUUAAAUUGUCUUAUUGCUUUAGCUAGAACUCAAGUAUUUUUUAUUAGACAUUUUCUUUAUUUACACUUUAAAUGUUAUCCCCUUUCCUAGUUUCUAAAAUCCUCUAUCCUCUCCCCUGUAACCUCCCACAGCCUGAAACAGGCUGAUCAAGACUUUGACCUUGCUGCCACUAAGAAGGAGACCACCUGGGGUGGAGCCUUCCUGCCUAGAUGGCUCUAUUGUUCUGCCACCUGCCACUGCUCCUCCAAGACACUGCUACCUACUGAGAGGCCCCUGAGAUAUUCUGGAGACUACACUCUAUCCUGCAGUCUUCACCUGAAGCUGGUUCCAGGCACCAAGAAUGGAUUAGCAGGGGAUGGGCCUCCCCCUCCACAGCCCCUUUAUAAGCACAGAUUGCUAUUAAACAUUGGAGCCUUGAUCAGGAAC